rnacentral:rRNA from 1 species
GAUAAACGCUGGCGGCGUGCCUAACACAUGCAAGUCGAACGAUCCCGCAAGGGAGAGUGGCGGAAGGGUGAGUAACACGUGGGAAUCUACCUCCUCGCAGGGAACAACCUCUCGAAAGAGAGGCUAAUACCCAAAAGGGUCAGAAAUGAUCAGAGUCGAAAGGCGUGAGGAGAGGAGCCCGCGGCCCAUCAGCUAGUUGGUGAGGUAAUGGCUUACCAAGGCUACGACGGGUAGGGGAUCUGAGAGGAUGUCCCCCACACUGGAACUGAAACACGGUCCAGACGCCUACGGGUGGCAGCAGUGAGGAAUAUUGGACAAUGGGCGAAAGCCCGAUCCAGCAACGCCGCGUGGAGGAUGAAGGCCUUCGGGUCGUAAACUUCUUUAGAGGGAGACGAGAAAGGACGGUAUCCCUAGAAUAAGCGACGGCAAACUACGUGCCAGCAGCCGCGGUAAU